rnacentral:misc_RNA from 1 species
UCAUAAAGGGUAUGGUAACCUGACAACAAGUAAAACAACAAUUACAUUUUACAUUGUGGAUGAUAGGAACAUAAUAACACCUGAGACCACCUCAAAGAACAUACAGCUGUUGCAAGUAUUACACUAUCCAGAGAAUAUAGGAUGGGUCAUGAUACUCAUGAAUCAUAUUGCUCUUCUGCAAAUUAUGAUUGAGCUUUUAAAAAAAAUGUUUAGCCGUGUAAGAAUCAAAGCUGUAGUGUUAAAGGAUCUGACCAGAAAGAAAACAAGUUGUGCACUUGUGAGUUGCGACACUAUAAUCUUAUACUUAAGGGUUCAAAGCAAACGACCUAGAAUGAUAUAUGUUAUAAGGCAACAAUGCACACAAAAAGAAAUGCGAGAGGAAAGGUGAGGAGAGAAAGACGAACCUGAUGUUGCUAAUAGAUGGU